UUCCCAAGUAUUAAGUUGAGUUUGGGAUCUCCUUCCUGUUAAUUAAACUUAGGGACAUUGAAAGGGGCAAGCAGAUAGAACUGUAUAGAAAAUAUCAUUCUAUUCUUUCAUUUCCGAGCCUACAAUG
ensembl:snoRNA